rnacentral:lncRNA from 1 species
GGCUAAGUCUCUCCCUCUCUCUCCCUUUCACACCGAGCUGAGGGAGAAUUAACACUUCUCCCUACAAACCUCAUCGGAGAAUGGCGCCUUCAUCAGAGACAGAGUUUACUGAAACUCAGCAAGAGGCCAACCGGCUCACAGACAGAGGAGGAUGAACAGCCAAUCAGACACAUGGAUAAAUCAUCAAGAUCCUCCACCCCGCGCUCACCCCUGCAUCCCCUCCUCUGCAUCGGCCGAGAUAUGGGGCAGCUUGUGAUGCCCAUGCAGCCCCCCCAGCCCCCCACACCACCACCACCCCAACCCACCCAACCGACCCCUGCCUCUCAACAAAAAUAUUGACGGUUAAUUUGGCUUUGAUAUAUUAUUGCAUUAAACACAUCACAUCCACUAAAGGGGAUAAGAACAUCCCAUAGCGUAGAUGCACUUGAAUGAAUGUGUCUUUACGUUCAACCUGUGGAGGCUGGGAGCGAGGCUUCAGAGGGAGAGGGAGAGACGCAGAGACGGAUGAGCUUCACACCGCAUGCUCAAUAUUUCUGCUUAUUUGUUUUUAAAUAGCUGGGAGUGCCUUGGGGAAGGUUUUAAAAGAGCAAGUUGACGUUUUUUUCUUCCCACACAUUUUUAAUCAAAGUGUUAGCAUUUACAUUUGAAUUUGCAUCGUGCAGUGGGAUGCUGGAUGCCAUAGGUGAGAUAUUAAAAAAA